rnacentral:rRNA from 1 species
UACGUAGGGUGCAAGCGUUAAUCGGAAUUACUGGGCGUAAAGCGUGCGCAGGCGGUUAUGCAAGACAGAUGUGAAAUCCCCGGGCUCAACCUGGGAACUGCAUUUGUGACUGCAUGGCUAGAGUACGGUAGAGGGGGAUGGAAUUCCGCGUGUAGCGGUGAAAUGCGUAGAUAUCGGGAGGAACACCAGUGGCGAAGGCGAUCAUCUGGGGUUGUUCUGACACUGAGGAGCGAAAGCUAGGGGAGCAAACGGG